UACGGGGGGGGCAAGCGUUGUGCGGAAUUACUGGGCGUAAAGGGCUCGUAGGUGGUCAACUAAGUCGGACGUGAAAUCCCUCGGCUUAACCGGGGAACUGCGUCCGAUACUGGAUGACUUGAGUUCGGGAGAGGGAUGCGGAAUUCCAGGUGUAGCGGUGAAAUGCGUAGAUAUCUGGAGGAACACCGGUGGCGAAGGCGGCAUCCUGGACCGACACUGACGCUGAGGAGCGAAAGCCAGGGGAGCAAACGGG
rnacentral:rRNA from 1 species